AUUGAACGCUGGCGGCAGGCCUAACACAUGCAAGUCGAGCGGGGUUUUCGGACCUAGCGGCGGACGGGUGAGUAAUGCGUAGGAAGCUACCCGAUAGAGGGGGAUACCAGUUGGAAACGACUGUUAAUACCGCAUAAUGUCUACGGACCAAAGUGUGGGACCUUCGGGCCACAUGCUAUCGGAUGCGCCUACGUGGGAUUAGCUAGUUGGUGAGGUAAUGGCUCACCAAGGCGACGAUCCCUAGCUGAUUUGAGAGGAUGAUCAGCCACACUGGAACUGAGACACGGUCCAGACUCCUACGGGAGGCAGCAGUGGGGAAUAUUGGACAAUGGGCGCAAGCCUGAUCCAGCCAUGCCGCGUGUGUGAAGAA
rnacentral:rRNA from 1 species